GACGAACCGUGCAAACGUCAUUCGGAAUCACUGGGCUUAAAGCGCGUGUAGGCGGGACGGCACGUCGGUCGUUGAAAUCCCCCGGCUCAACCGGGGAAGGGGCGCCGAUACGACCGUCCUGGAGGGGCGUAGGGGGACCUGGAACUUCCGGUGGAGCGGUGAAAUGCGUUGAGAUCGGAAGGAACGCCCGUGGCGAAAGCGAGGUCCUGGACGCCUACUGACGCUGAGACGCGAAAGCCAGGGGAGCGAACGGG
rnacentral:rRNA from 1 species